UGGGGAAUUUUGGACAAUGGGCGAAAGCCUGAUCCAGCAAUGCCGCGUGUGUGAAGAAGGCCUUCGGGUUGUAAAGCACUUUUGUCCGGAAAGAAAUCCUUGGCUCUAAUACAGUCGGGGGAUGACGGUACCGGAAGAAUAAGCACCGGCUAACUACGUGCCAGCAGCCGCGGUAAUACGUAGGGUGCAAGCGUUAAUCGGAAUUACUGGGCGUAAAGCGUGCGCAGGCGGUUUGCUAAGACCGAUGUGAAAUCCCCGGGCUCAACCUGGGAACUGCAUUGGUGACUGGCAGGCUAGAGUAUGGCAGAGGGGGGUAGAAUUCCACGUGUAGCAGUGAAAUGCGUAGAGAUGUGGAGGAAUACCGAUGGCGAAGGCAGCCCCCUGGGCCAAUACUGACGCUCAUGCACGAAAGCGUGGGGAGCAAACAGGAUUAGAUACCCUGGUAGUCCACGCCCUAAACGAUGUCAACUAGUUGUUGGGGAUUCAUUUCCUUAGUGACGUAGCUAACGCGUGAAGUUGACCGCCU
rnacentral:rRNA from 1 species